UUUGUGCGUUCAUAGACCUUCGUUAAGGGACUACACGUCCCAUGAAACCCUGCAGUAUAAGUUUGAAGUAUUAUUGCUGGGCCUUCUGUAAUUGUCUCGGGGCCAGUGGCGCAAUGGAUAACGCGUCUGACUACGGAUCAGAAGAUUCCAGGUUCGACUCCUGGCUGGCUCGCACUUUCCUGUGACUUCUAAAAACAGCAGGUACUGUGGGUCUGCCUGUAGGAGCCGGAGAGAAGCAGAAGCGAAGGAGCUCCUUGGAAAGGACUUGGCCGGAAGCAUAAAGUCAGAGUUGGUGAAGUCUGUCUUCUGUUCGGCCUCCGUCUGCUCUGCCCUCCGUGCUGAACUCUUGCGCUCAGAAGCAUGAGCCAGAGACCAACAGGCAGAACCUUGGCAACUUUCUGGAAAGGAAAGAGUAUCCCCUCGCAGAUGAUUCUCCCCUUGCCCCUCUACCCCUCCCCUCACAUUCCUCACCUCCAGGCCCAGUUCUUUAACCGGAUCCUGUUUUUGUGACCUUGUUCAAACACCUCCAGCCCACUGUAAACACUCCCUUCAUCCCUGGUGCUCGGCUCCUCCCUCAGCACUUGCCUCCCUCCUCAGCACCCCUUCACUCACCCCUGUGCCUGCCCAGCCAGCUAGACUCUUCAACACCAAAAUAAUGGCCCGUUUGACCCUCCUACUGCUCCAAAUUGCUUCUGUACAAUCAAGGCUGUCCUGCAGCUACCGAAGUGGCAGAAUUACUGAGGCAAGAUAAUCGCUGCCGAUUUGCAUUCUCUUCCUUGUCAGCUCUAUUAUACAGUGUUUGUCUGUCAGAAUGAAUAGAAAGUAGAAACUGUUCUGGAACACAGAAAAAGAUGGAAAACUACCCGAUUUGUUUAUGAAGCUGAAUAUCAAAACCUGUCAGAAAUAGCAUCCCCCCCCCAAAAAACCCCUAUAGACCAAUCUCCCUUAUGACUGUAAAUGUAAAAAUCCUAAAAUAUUUAAGAUUAACACAUAAAAGUCAGCAGUAUUGUAACAUAAUAAUUACAUACUA